UUGAAUGCGAUCGGACCCAAGAAGGCGUCUGGAAUCCCGAACGAAGUGACGAGUGCAAGAGCGUGAGGUCUAAGCUCUCCACACAGCUUAGAAACCUCUCUCCUCACAUCUCCAACAUUGUCCCUUGACAGGUAACCAUAUCUCAGCAACGAUGGAUCUUCCUCCAAGCAGAUCAAUGCGUACAUUGAUCUUACUAGACCCAACACAUCCUAUCAUCAAACGCAAUGAGGCAAUUAGUUUAGUUCCUCUUGUAGUCUUCACUCUACAGUCUACAGAUCAACCCUGUAACGUAACAGUUCUUUACUCUGACAUUGUCUAUAAUCUACGGGUGUUUUUGUGCGAACACAUGACAUCAGGUUUAUAUAAUCAUGUUUACCUUAAUGGAGCCAGCACGGAUUUUGGCUUCAGCAUCCAAAAAGGUUUGCAGAAUUGCUUUUUCUGUGAAAGCUCUGCUUAGGUCUUCAGAAAGUUGAUGAUUCUGAAAGUACAGAGGAGAUGUAGAAAAGGAGCAGAGAACCAUUAGUAUAUGAGAAACGCAACCAAAGGUUAUGUGAGAAGAAAUGCUAACCAAAAGGAAGGAGAACUCUCUGCUUUCUCCUCUCCCUUGAAGUUGUGCAACUUCAGAUGUAUACCGCUCUAGAAGAUCUCGCUCUCUUAAAGAGAAGACAUUUUUCUGCCAGGGACAAAUACAGGAGAUGCUUAACAAAAAGUUGAAUUCAUCUAUGUAAAUGAUAAGAUGGAAAUAUUCUUGAGUAGGCAUAUGAAUUAUGACCUGGAACUGGCUGCAUCUGAGGGUAGAAGAUGUGAGUUGAGUUGGUAAUACAGGGCGAGAGCUGUUCAUGUGCUCCAAUCCCAAUCCUUUGAAUGGUUUAUUUCUCUUCUUACAAGAUACAUAUUCAGCAAAAAGUGCUUUGCUCACCUAAAUUCACAUAAGAACGAUUGUCACAUUGAAUGGUCAAAAUACAAAAAAAGAAAACAAAAAAAAAGAGGAAAGCUGCAGCAUUGAUUAUGUUCCUUAUCCUACCUGCUGCAUCAGAACAUUAUUGUCACCUUCAAAUGUAGUCUGCACAUCAUAGUCGCCUUUUAAAUGACCAACGCGAUUUUCUGUUUUCACACUUUGCCCUCCACAAGCUUCACGACAUUCCUUGAAAAAUAUAUAAUCUCAGUAUGGCCCGUAUGAGAUUUCCUCAUAUAUAAUUGCAUAAAAGUAUUGGUUAGAGACCUGAAGCGUUCGCAUAUUGUGCCAAGUGAGAACAGCUUUGAACCCACUUGAAACUACAUGGAUGGCUUUGUUGGUCUCAGGUGUUCUCUUCACGUAAUCAUCUUCAAGUCAUUAGCAGCAAAGCUCAUAGCAUAUCUAGGGUACAGAAUACAUAAAUUCAGUAAGAGAUAAUAAUCUUCCAAGAGGGAAAACAUAGUGGUUACUUACGUUUUUGCUAGGAGUGGUAAAAGUCGUCUUUGAUGGCUUGGAUAAUCAAGAAGGAGAACUUCAGGACCAUUGUCUACAGCAGAGAAGGCUCUUCUCGAUAGCGAGUACCUUAUAGCAACAGCUAAUCCCAGCUGCCAUAGUAAGAAUCUUAAUCAAUAUCAUUGAUAGUCAAGUUGAUUUCACAAAAUGUAUAUGUUAGGAUCUGAAAUAAAACUACUAAAAUGAAUCAAUACCUUUGCAGAAUAAAUUGCACUUGACGAAAUCGUGACACGACCAGCGGUCAAAGGGGCCAAGAAUGCUCCAAAUCUCUGAAAUAUCAAAAAUGAAAACAUUGCCACUGCAACUCCGAAACAUUUUCAAGUUUAUCUGAAAACUGGAUUUAGCAAUUUACCUGAUCAGGAUUUUUUAUUGCGCUAACAUACUGCCCAUCAGAUGAAACAUUAGCAACUGAGUUCAAUAAAUAAUCUCUUGGAAUUCGAAGAUUGUCAAACCUAUAAACAUAGUGAAAUCUUCAAUGAAGGAUACACCCUUAACAGUUACAUAACAGUGAGUUGUGGUGUACAAUACCAUAUCCUGCCAUUGCCAACACCAUUUAGACCAAUCUUGUGUCCACAGUCGGCAAUGCGGAUGUUUGGACAUAUGUUGCCAUCUUGAUCCCUGAUUUGGGCGAUGAAGACAUGAAUCCCCUGGUUGGUUCCGUUUAUGUUAAGCUGUGAAAUCACAAUUGCAUGGGUUGCAUACUGAACAAACCAAAAGAAUAGUAAAAAGUCAGUUUAUAUGUCAGAUCAGAGGGGAGAAUUUAAGAAUUAAGUAUACUAACUACUUACGUUAGCUGCCUCACCGAUCCAAUACUUCUGAGCAGAUUCACAAGGAGUGUUUAUAACAAACUCCCCAGUUCUUGGGUCAUAAGUAGUCACUGUUUCAAUUCCCUUCACCUGAAAGCAUUAUAUCAAAAGAAAUCAAUACCAAUUAUGGAAGAUCACCAAUACAUACGAGUUUGCAUAUGUGUAAAAGGACACUAAUAAUAUUCCUACAUUACUUCCAUGGCCCAACUCAGUCAUUACUAAGCAUCCCUUGACAACAUAAUCUUCGGUGUCUUUCAGCCACUUGUCAUCGUGGCGCUUUGUCCCAAAGAAUUUAACAGCAUUACCCCUGAACUUAAACAUGCCAUAUGAAUUUCCCAAAUGCUAAAUUUCAUAGUUUUCAAUACCCAGAUUAGGACAAUAUCUCUCCAAUAUGAGAAACUCAAGAGGAACAAUAUGCGGUGAUGUGAGUUAGGCAUAAAACAUGUGAACAUACCACAGCAAGAAAUGAACACCGAGUUUGGCGAUAAUGGAGUAAUCAUAGAUCCCGCAAACUUCGUACAGAGCAAACUUUUUUUGCUCAGCAUCAGGACCUGUCUCCGUCAACCAUCCUUUGAAGACUCCUUUCUGGAGCAAGUACCAGAUCCGCUUCAUGGUGACCUCUCGCUGCUGCUCCAUCGUCUGAUUGUAAUCCGGCGACACGAAAAUCUUGCCUCCUCUCUCUUUCCGAUUAAACAGAUUGCUCUGCAUCAUGAGCCCAUAAAGCCAGUCUCGCUCCUCCACGUUGUGUCCGUCGAGCAGUUUCCUCAUCUCCUUGAUUUCGAAUCCAUAGCUCCCGUUGAGCUCCUCCGGUGGAGAGUACUGCAAGCAUACAUCGCGCGUGAGGGAGAGGUUCGACGGCGGAGAAAGGUGGUCGGAGUAUGUGAUUGGCGAGAACUUGGGCUCGCCGGAAAGCGCGAUUUCAUUUCCGAAAUAGGGUUUCACUUUCACAACAUUCAGAGAAAGGAGGGAGGGAGAGAAAACUAUUUGAAUUUUCUUUUUUUGUUUCUCAAUUGCUGUUGAGUGUUGACUUCUACAGUUCUACAUGAUUCCUUUCAUGAGUCCAAAAAAAUUUACAUGUUUUGUUCCCUUGGCCAAAACAUCUGCUGAGAUAUAGUACUGUAUUAUUUAUUUUUCUACUUCUUGUAACCAAUUCAAUUUAUAGAUUACGAGAUUAAAUAGGAUCAUGUCCGGUUUAAGAAACAUUAAAAACGUUUAAUAGAAAGCAAAUCCCAGAAGGGAAAUAAUUAUUUAUUUUAGGGGAGAUGACCUAACAAACCUUUGUCUGGACAGUUUACCCUGUAUUAUUAUUAUCAAGAGCAUAUAACAGCUUUAAAGAUAUAUGGAAAUACAGCUUUUUAAGAGAAGUGGAAUUAUUGGAAGAGAUAGCAAGUACUAAACUGAAGACCAAGCGUUGGCUUCGACCCAGUUGAAUGCAAUCGGAGCCAAGAAAGCGUCUGGAAUCCCGAACGAAGUGACGAGUGCAAGAGCGUGAGGUCUAAGCUCUCCACACAGCUUAGAAACCUCUCUCCUCACAUCUCCAACAUUGUCCCUUGACAGGUAACCAUAUCUCAGCAACGAUGGAUCUUCUUCCAAGCAGAUCAAUGCGUACAUUGAUCUUACUAGACCCAACACAUCCUAUCAUCAAACAAAUGGGGCUGGUCAGAUUAGUUUAGUUCCUCUGCUAGUCUUCAGUCUUAGUGUAGUACUAGUCUACAGAAUAACUACAUAAAGAACAAAGCUCUGCUUUUCCAUAAC
rnacentral:lncRNA from 1 species